rnacentral:rRNA from 1 species
UGUCUCUUACGGACUAGCCAAUGAAAUUGAUCCUUCAGUACAAAAGCUGGAAUUAGCCCAUAAGACGAGAAGACCCUGUGGAGCUUCAAAACCAAAAUCACCAAACAUGCUUCAUGGGUUUUUAGUUGGGGCGACUUUGGAGCAAAAAAAACCCUCCAAACAUAAAUCUAUUUAUUAAGACUAACACACCAAAAAAAUAUUAUAGACCCAGCAGUAUCUAUUUACUGUCUGACCAAUGAACCAAGUUACCCCAGGGAUAACAGCGCCAUCCUCUUCUAGAGUCCUUAUCGACAAGAGGGUUUACGACCUCGAUGUUGGC